rnacentral:rRNA from 1 species
AUUAGCUAGUAGGUAGGGUAAAGGCCUACCUAGGCGACGAUCAGUAGCUGGUCUGAGAGGACGACCAGCCACACUGGAACUGAGACACGGUCCAGACUCCUACGGGAGGCAGCAGUGGGGAAUUUUGGACAAUGGGCGCAAGCCUGAUCCAGCAAUGCCGCGUGAGUGAAGAAGGCCUUCGGGUUGUAAAGCUCUUUUGUCAGGGAAGAAACGGCUGGGGCUAAUAUCCCCGGCUAAUGACGGUACCUGAAGAAUAAGCACCGGCUAACUACGUGCCAGCAGCCGCGGUAAUACGUAGGGUGCAAGCGUUAAUCGGAAUUACUGGGCGUAAAGCGUGCGCAGGCGGUUUUGUAAGUCUGAUGUGAAAGCCCCGGGCUCAACCUGGGAAUUGCAUUGGAGACUGCAAGGCUUGAAUCUGGCAGAGGGGGGUAGAAUUCCACGUGUAGCAGUGAAAUGCGUAGAGAUGUGGAGGAACACCGAUGGCGAAGGCAGCCCCCUGGGUCAAGAUUGACGCUCAUGCACGAAAGCGUGGGAAGCAAACAGGAUUAGAUACCCUGGUAGUCCACGCCCUAAACGAUGUCUACUAGUUGUCGGGUUUUAAUUAACUUGGUAACGCAGCUAACGCGUGAAGUAGACCGCCUGGGGAGUACGGUCGCAAGAUUAAAACUCAAAGGAAUUGACGGGGACCCGCACAAGCGGUGGAUGGUGUGGAUUAAUUCGAUGCAACGCGAAAAACCUUACCUACCCUUGACAUGGAAGGAAUCCCGAAGAGAUUUGGGAGUGCCCGAAAGGGAACCUUCACACAGGUGCUGCAUGGCUGUCGUCAGCUCGUGUCGUGAGAUGUUGGGUUAAGUCCCGCAACGAGCGCAACCCUUGUCAUUAGUUGCUACAUUCAGUUGGGCACUCUAAUGAGACUGCCGGUGACAAACCGGAGGAAGGUGGGGAUGACGUCAAGUCCUCAUGGCCCUUAUGGGUAGGGCUUCACACGUCAUACAAUGGUACAUA